rnacentral:lncRNA from 1 species
CUUAACGAGGCUGUGGCUGCCUGAGGUGUCAUUCAGUUCGUUAGGGAGGAAGAAGGGAAAAUGAAUAUUGCAGAGGCAGCUGGUGGUCUCUGCCACAGACCAUCCCACCCCCCUGCAGUCUUUCAUGUCUCUCCCUGCUCUAUUAUCAGAAGUUUCCUGGCCUGUCUAUGAUUCCCAGCUCUUAAAUUUUUUUUGGUGGAGGAGUGGGAAGAAGCUAACAUGUUAGAGUCUAUGAGGGUUUAAUAUUUGUUAUGAAAGGGUUACUGUAUGGAUGAACUUUUAAUAGCAUAAUUUCAGGUAUUUGCGGUAAUCUGAAGGAGAAGAGACAUUAUGAGGCAACUACACUUUGCACAUGGAAGGCCACACUGGAUGUCACCUCCUCCCCAGGGUCCCACAGACUUGCUGGCCUCCCCUCGGCUCUCCAUUGAUUUUUCAGAGCUGGAUCUAACAGAGCCUCCUCACCUCCAGUCUUCAAGCUGCUCCAGUUUCCAACAAGCAUUCAUGGGUCUAGGAAUCAAGGGGCAGAAGUGGAAGUGGCACCACUUACCAUCACCCCUAGUGACCCACUAGCAAAAUAUUUGCUUCCUGUUCCCAUGACUUUGUGCCUUGCUGGCCUAGAGGCCUUAGUUCCAGAGAAAAGAAUGCUUCCUUCAGGAGACACAACAAUGAGUCCGUUGAACUGGAAGUUAAGACUGCCACCCGACUGCUUUGGGUUCUUCAUGCCUCUGGGUCAUCAGGCCAGGAAGGGAAUUAUGGUGUUGGCUGGCAUGUUGAUCUUGACUACCAAGGGAAAAUUCUACUACUACACCACAAUAGAGGCUCACUUGCCCUUCCUCCUGCUACCAUGAAUGAUGCAGCAUAAAGGCCCUCAUCAGAUGCUGGCCCCUUGAUCCUGGACUUCCCAGCCUCCAGGACCAUAAGAAAUAAAUUGCUGUUCAUUACAAACUACCCAGUCUCAGG